rnacentral:rRNA from 1 species
AGAGUUUGAUCCUGGCUCAGGACGAACGCUGGCGGCGUGCUUAACACAUGCAAGUCGAGCGGAAAGGCCUUUCGGGGUACUCGAGCGGCGAACGGGUGAGUAACACGUGAGCAACCUGCCUCUGACUUUGGGAUAACCCUCGGAAACGGGGGCUAAUACCGGAUAUUACCUUCGAGGGCAUCUUUGAGGGUGGAAAGCUUUUGUGGUCAGGGAUGGGCUCGCGGCCUAUCAGCUUGUUGGUGGGGUGAUGGCCUACCAAGGCGGUGACGGGUAGCCGGCCUGAGAGGGCGACCGGCCACACUGGGACUGAGACACGGCCCAGACUCCUACGGGAGGCAGCAGUGGGGAAUAUUGCACAAUGGGCGGAAGCCUGAUGCAGCGACGCCGCGUGAGGGAUGACGGCCUUCGGGUUGUAAACCUCUUUCAGCACCGACGAAGCGAGAGUGACGGUAGGUGCAGAAGAAGCGCCGGCCAACUACGUGCCAGCAGCCGCGGUAAUAC